rnacentral:rRNA from 1 species
UCAGAACGAACGCUGGCGGCAGGCUUAACACAUGCAAGUCGAGCGCCCCGCAAGGGGAGCGGCAGACGGGUGAGUAACGCGUGGGAACGUACCCUUUACUACGGAAUAACGCAGGGAAACUUGUGCUAAUACCGUAUGUGCCCUUUGGGGGAAAGAUUUAUCGGUAAAGGAUCGGCCCGCGUUGGAUUAGCUAGUUGGUGGGGUAAAGGCCUACCAAGGCGACGAUCCAUAGCUGGUCUGAGAGGAUGAUCAGCCACAUUGGGACUGAGACACGGCCCAAACUCCUACGGGAGGCAGCAGUGGGGAAUAUUGGACAAUGGGCGCAAGCCUGAUCCAGCCAUGCCGCGUGAGUGAUGAAGGCCCUAGGGUUGUAAAGCUCUUUCACCGGAGAAGAUAAUGACGGUAUCCGGAGAAGAAGCCCCGGCUAACUUCGUGCCGCGC